rnacentral:sRNA from 1 species
CUUUAGCCCCGAUUGAAGCGACAUCCUUUUUUAUUUUUCAUAAAAAAGAUAUAGCAAAAAGCGGGAAAUAGC